UUUCACAAACUUUUCACACAAUUCACUACUAAGAAAGCUCUGUUAAAAGGUAACAUAGAAGAAGGAGAUUGCACAAGUUAUUCUGAAAAGCUCAAAGAUAAUGCCGAGGGAGCCGCUGAACCACUCGGGAACCCGGAGGAUUGAGUGUCUAGAGGAGAUGGGUGACGCUGUUUGGGAGCUGGAUAGAGCGUCACAAACCUUGACUUUUACUGGAUUCGUGAAGACAACUGAAGGAAUAGGAGGAUUACUUGUUUCAUCUAUCAUACACCAUAUUACCCUGGAGAUGGUGCUGCCAUUAGAGAGAAUGAUAAUGGUUCUCAACCUUAAUGGAGUUGGAAGGGGUUCUCACUCUACUGGACCUAGGGGACCAAGGCCUCGUGUUGGUCGUACCGCCCGUAUGAGAGUGCGUAGCCGUAGUCCAGUUUAUUAUAAUUUUGUGAAUCAUCAAGCAAAUUUAAGAAUGAAUAAUAAUGAUAAUCAAAUUGUACCCGAUGAAGAUCCUUCUGAAGACUCUAGUGGUGGAGAAGCUAACGGGAAUAAUGGAAGUCUCCCUAAUGGUCAUUAAUAAUAAUAAUAAUGGUUAGGCAGUAUGUAAAAUACUAACUAAUGGUAGGAUUAAGUCUUGAAGCCUUUUGGGUUAUUAUAAUAGACUAGAUAAGUCCAUGCUUCGUGACUCUCUUUUGUGACUCUUGGUGGCAGUAACUUCUAGGGGAUAAGGUGUAUGACUCAUGAUUAGUUAAGAAUAGUUUGAUCUAAUUAGGAACUAUUUACUUGCAGGUUUUGUGAAACAGUUUAACUAUACCUGUCAAGUUUAACUAUG